GAUGAACGCUGGCGGCGUGCCUAAUACAUGCAAGUCGAGCGAACAGACGAGGAGCUUGCUCCUCUGACGUUAGCGGCGGACGGGUGAGUAACACGUGGAUAACCUACCUAUAAGACUGGGAUAACUUCGGGAAACCGGAGCUAAUACCGGAUAAUAUAUUUAACCGCUUGGUUCAAUAGUGAAAGACGGUUUUGCUGUCACUUAUAGAUGGUUCCGCGCCGCAUUAGCUAGUUGGUAAGGUAACGGCUUACCAAGGCAGCGAUGCGUAGCCGACCUGAGAGGGGGAUAGGCCACACUGGAGCGGAGACACGGUCCAGAGUACUACGGGAGGCAGCAGUAGGGAAUCUGCCGCAAUGGGCGAAAGCUUGACGGAGCAACGGCGAGUGAGUGAUGAAGGUCUUGCGAUCGGAAAACUCUGUUAUGAGGGAAGAACAAAUGUGUAAGUAACUAUGCACGUCUUGACGGUACCUAAACAGAAAGCCACGGCUAACUACGUG
rnacentral:rRNA from 1 species